rnacentral:rRNA from 1 species
GACGAACGCUGGCGGCGUGCUUAACACAUGCAAGUCGAACGGAAAGGACCUGCUUUUGUGGGGUGCUCGAGUGGCGAACGGGUGAGUAACACGUGAGUAACCUGCCCUUGACUUUGGGAUAACUUCAGGAAACUGGGGCUAAUACCGGCUAGGAGCUCCUGCUGCAUGGUGGGGGUUGGAAAGUUUCGGCGGUUGGGGAUGGACUCGCGGCUUAUCAGCUUGUUGGUGGGGUAGUGGCUUACCAAGGCUUUGACGGGUAGCCGGCCUGAGAGGGUGACCGGCCACAUUGGGACUGGGAUACGGCCCAGACUCCUUCGGGAGGCAGCAGUGGGGAAUAUUGCACAAUGGGCGGAAGCCUGAUGCAGCAACGCCGCGUGCGGGAUGACGGCCUUCGGGUUGUAAACCGCUUUCGCCUGUGACGAAGCGUGAGUGACGGUAAUGGGUAAAGAAGCACCGGCUAACUACGUG